AGUGGUCAAACAAUUAUCUAUUUGUUACACACAAAGGAGAAGAAAUAUGGCAUCAAUUCUUAAGUUUGUUUAUAUUAUGAUCAUAUAUCUUUCUGUACUUCUUGUUGUCAUUGAAGGCUACCGUAUGCUAUUUUUCUCAUCCCCUCAAAUUUUAUUCUUUAUUUUGUAUACAAUUUUUCAUCCCUUUUCAUUGACUUUAUGUAUUUUUUUUUGGCUUAUAUUAUAGCAUUUCAAGAAUGUAAAGUAGACGCAGAUUGCCCAACUGUUUGUACCUUACCAGGCUGUCCAGAUAUUUGUUCCUUUCCUGAUGUUCCGACAUGCAUUGAUAAUAAUUGUUUUUGUACUUAACAGUAAGUUGAAACAACAAUUUGUACUUAUAUGAAUUUUUUGCACCAUUAGAUUUUUCUCUUUAACAUUCAAAUUUCUUGGACAGGUCGAGAAUAAAAAUAUCAUUGCAGAAUUAUAAAUGAACUGCAAUAAAUAAUGAUAAUGUGAUUACUGAUUAUAUAAAACCAUGUUGCCUUGUGUGGCAAGGGAGGUGUGAGGGUUUGUUUUCCUUGUAUCUCCAAGUGGACACCUUGUUCUCUUGUUUGUGCUUGUGAGUUGUGACCAAUAAAUUGUUUUCUUUUAAAAAUAUAUAUUAAAUAAAGAUAAUAUUAUUAUUGCCAUCCUUAAAUGUAAUUCAACAUUGACUAACAUGUCUGCUUCUAGCAUUCUAUACUUAUCCUUAGAAGUAGCCAAGAUGCAAAGACAUGACCAUGCUUCUUGAUUAUGGGCAGUAUGUUGGAUAACCAUUUGAUAUAUCUUGAUGUUUGGAUAAAAACCUCUUGUGAAGGCUUUCUACAUCAACUUUCAUAUGAGGCAUCAAUAAAUGAUUAAAUUUUCUUGCAGGUUGUUUAUGUGGAUCAUAUCAUUCCUUGAUUGGUAAUCUUUGUUACACUAAUUCUUUACUCAAUCCGAGCAUUUCAUGGUACCUCCAUGAAAAACAAUCUUUGUAAUACUCAACUAAACCCACUAAUUGAUUCCUUUCUACCUCAGCCACUAAUUUUAACCAUUCAUGGUCCUAGAUUAACUUCAACUAGUGGAUCUUGUGCUUAAAAGCUUAGCAAUCUCAUAAGGACUGAGGAGCUAUAGCUUCUUAUAGUAUUCAAGGAGAGAACUUGUUUCCUUGAAAAUAAAAUAAAUCAUUUGCAAAAUUUUAAAGUAAAAAAAGGGUUUGAGAAAACAAUUGAAAAGACAUAGAAAUUCUCAAAGGUAAAGUGUUGUUUAACCAAUGGUUCAAUUGUAACAAAUCUUUGCUAUGAUAUACAAGACUAUAGCUUUCUAUGACUUCCUGAUAACCUGGUGGCCACUAGGAGAUAUUUCAUCUUAAGCAUGUGAAGACGUCCUCUCGGAGUACACUCACAUAAACUUAACACGCAACAUUUCUAGGUUAGGUCAUCAACAAUUCAAACCAAAGUAAUACUAUGCUGAGCCUUUUGCCUGUGACAAGAGUCCUAGUUAGAUCUCAGCACUUUCAGGCUCUUCCAAUAUCUAGUCCUCGUGCAAAUUAGUCUCUCUUGUUACCAUCACCUUUCGGUUCAUAGGGACUUAACUCAUAUCAAACAAACAUUUUUCAUUCUCAUACCCUAUCGGUGUCACGAAACUAUAACAUCAAAAGAAAAAAUAGAUUAAGUUUCACUUUUAAAGAUUUUGAGUUAAAACAUUUUGUUUGAAAGAAGCACGAAGUUGUAUCUUUAUAAAUCUUAAGCAAAAACUAUCAUAACCUCAUCAUGUCUUAACCAUAAGAACGGGUUUAUCUCAUGAUGAACUUAACUACAAAGAUGAAGGUGAACUGCAACAUAAAUGAAAACAUGAAAAGCUAAAUUGAUAUAGAUAUAAAAUAGAGUUAGUAACAUAUUGCAAUCCAAGAAGGGAAGAGGUGAGCUUGAAGCAUCACCCAAAUAAUCUUAACUCUAAAUCACUAAGAACUAACACUCAUGCUCAUCUAUGGAGAAGAUGAGAUAAGUCAGAACUCUAGUACUGCUAACCCUAGCUAGAAUUGGCCUCUCAAUUCACAAGUGUAAAAUUCAGGACCCAUUGGCACUAACAUGUGAUUUUCCUUUUAUAGUACAAGGCUAGCCACUACAAGUUGUACCCUUUGAUCAUUUCCCCUAUUAAUUGUCCUUGUCUUAUCAUUUCACCAUCAUGCAUAUUAUUUAUUCAUUCUGCUGCCAAUCAUUUGGUGCCAAUCCAUAUAACUUACUCAUUAAACAAUGAUAAUAAGGGUACCAUGAGUUCGUACAAUAGUACGACUCGACUGUUGAUCUGGUAUGCUACAUUUUUCUAUAUCUUCAAUGAUGCAUCUACGAUUCCAAGUUGUGGCUUCUCAUAUCUUCAGUGUCAUUCUUCACCCUGUUUUAUCAAACAUCCAAAACAAGCAUAACUAGUUCAAAAUGAUCAAACUACACUAAAAAAUAAUUAAAACAUAAAAAACUAAAUAGUCACUGAUUAAAUGCAUUCACUCAAUUUCUCGUUCAUUUUGGAGGAUAAUUGCAACGUGAUAACCUACAAAUUUGCUGGUUAUCAAUCAUCUAUACCAGAUUUCAAGCACAAGCAUGGUGAACUCUCUUCCUCUCCACCCUCUCCACACCCCCUAACACCCCACCAUCACCAUCCUCAACACGACCUGAUCUCCUCCUCUCUAUUCUUUUCUCCUUCCUCAUCUUCCUCUUUCUUACACAUUAUUCAACAAAAAAUUAUACCACAAAGAACCAAAUAUCAACCAUUCCCUUUCCCAGAGGCCACCCUUCACCCCUUAUCCCCAUCUAUAACUCAAUCAAUUCAAUUGAAGAAGAACAAAAAUAAGAUUGAACGAAGGUUGUCUCCAUUUUAUACCCUGCAACUGAACAUUCAUUCUAAUAUGCCAUGUUUUAAACUGAAUGGAGAGUGAAGUGAUAAUCACGGAAUACAACCUUGAACCCAGAGAACUAUCAUAUCCUUCCAUGUGGAUUGUGGGUAGUUAAAACUAAGGCUUUUAUGAAGCUUUAUUUUAAAUAUAUAUAUCGUAAUCAUAAUAAAACUAAAAUUGAAGUUGUGGUGUUUGUUGAUGUGGGAACUGGGAAGAGAAGAAAAAAUAUAUCAAAGCAUUUUUUCACACCGUUUUGGAUUCUCAGGAGAGGUUUUUAUGAAGAAAAAAUUACAUGUUACUUUUUUUUUCUCUUCAAUAUACGUAUAAGUUUUUCUAGAUUUUAGUUCUACUUUCCGGACAUAUUUAGAAGUAAACAAAAUUGAAUAUUUAAUGAUUUUAAUGUGAAGUAGACCUGUAAAUAGGUUUUCAGGCCAGACUAGACUUUUAAAUAGGUCAAGGAUAGACCAAAAAAAUAAACCUAUGAAGGACCAUAUGUCAGGCUCGAGCUUGCAAAAAAUUUCAUAGGUCAGACCUAUCACUGAUGAUGAAAGGUUGAGGAGAAACGUGGUGGUUUCUAGGAGGGAGGGAGGUGGUGGUCCAAUGAGGGUAUUGGGAGGAGGAUAUGUGUUUUGUUAUUCUGGGUUUGAAGAGUAAGAUGAUGAAGAAUGUGACUUUUUUUUUUUUUUUUUUUUUUUAAUUUAAAAAUUACAUAAGUGACAUCUAACUCACUUAAGUGAGGUGUCUUAUACGCAUUGUCCAUGUUAAAAUUGGCUACUUGUAAAAGAGGGCAAAGUUUUAAGUGGAUUAGAUUAUCUUGUUUUAAGUGCCUUAUAUGCAUUCUUUUGUUCUAAGGGGAUCAAAAUCGCAGUUGUUGCAAAGUUAUGGGGCCAAAAACUCGUUUAAGCCAAUUAUUUAUUUUUAGGUGUGAAAAAUAUCUAAUCAAAAUUUAAUUUGAAUAAAAGAGAUUCCAGGUGACCGGCGAUAUUUCAAGAAAUAAUUUUUUUAAUAUGAUGUCAGAAAUUUUUUAGAUGUGAAAAUUGAAUUGUCUAUGUUAUGACACUUUAUGUAUUCUAUGUAUUUUAAAGGGUGAUUGCUCUUUGUUUUUGUAAUACUUCAUUAACUUCAAAAGGUGUCUAUACUUUUUAUAUUACACAUUCAAAAGGGAGUUUAUUUCGUUGAUUCUGGCCUCUAUUGUGCGGGAAUUUUAAUGUAAUUGUUAAGGUAUGUUAUGUAUUGUACAAUGAUUUUAGAGUUGCUAUAUAUACACAUCUUGUUCUAGUUUGCUCUUUAUCAAUAAAAGUUUGAUUAUAAAAAAAACUUGAAAAGGUGCUAAAAUAAAAGAAAUGAGGUUGGUUAAAAGAAAAUAUACAAUGCAUUUUUAAUGUUGAAUUUUUACAUCUUCCUUUUGGGACAAAAAGUUUUAAAAAUUUACUCCCUUUUUUAAAUUGAAGAAAAACAUAUGUAAAAAAAAGUAUGUAAAAAUGACUAAAUUCUAAUUAAAACAUGGUUCUAUAAUUCAUAAAUUAUGACCAAAAUUACUCUUAUGGUUCCUUGAUUUAAUUUCAAGUAAUAAUUUUGUUCUAUAUCUUUUUUUCACGUUAUUUUUGUCCUUUUAAUUAAUUUGCUUAUGAAUUUUCAAGACUCAAAUCUAUGAAUUUAUUUUAAUGAUUCAUGGCAUAAUUUCUGAAGUGCAUCUAAGUUUGAGGUUAGCUUUGAUUCAUAGCUCUAUGUUUCCUUGGAAAUUGAGAACUAGGUGGAAUAAGUGCAUGAUUAGUCUAAGAUCUAUUAGUAGCACUCACACUCAUGUGAUGCGGGAAGGUAAUAGUGUUGCUGAUGCACUUGCGAAAAAUGGCCAAGGGCUUGCCCCUUUUUCUUCACAGUAUUGGGAUGCUCCCCCUCUUUUUGUUUUAUCUUUACUUCAGAGGGAUAGUCUAGGCCUCUCUUCUUCCACAUUAAACAUGUAAUACUGUGUACUUUUGGUUCAGGCCUCUCAUGCGUUUAUUAUUUUCGUUGUUGGAUCAAAAAAAAAUUAUAUAAAUUAUAAAAUGUAACAAAAAAAUAAUGUAAUUUAUAAUUUUGGUAUAUGACUAUAAUAUGUUUUUAUCAUUGCUCAACACCUUAUUCUCAUUGCCAAAAGAAAUCAUUUUCUUUUGAGAUUUAGCUCGUUUCUCCUAUGAAAGGCUCAUAAUAGGGAAAAAAAAUGGAAGGGUGUAAAAUCAUCCACAACAGAGCACCCUAAAUUGGAUGUUAAAUUUUCACCAAUCCAACACCUUAAAAGAAAUUAUUAAAUAGAUCUCAUAAAUAAUUUUAUAUCAUUACAUUUCAACAAAAUUUAUUUAUUUUAUUAAGAAUUAUUAAAUGAGAUCCAUGAAAAAUGAAGAAAGAGUGGGUGCUUCCAUAACCACCCAUGUAUUAUACUCCACAAUAGAGGUGUCUAAUUAAUAUGAUGCUAAAUAGGUGAAACACCAACCAUCGUGGAUGGUCUAAAAACAAUGAUCAAAGGUAACAAAUUAUAUUUUAAUAUGUGAUCUUUACUAAAUUUAAAUGAUCAAUUGAGUGAACAAAAGGAACAAACACGACACAUCGAUAUAAUCAAGAGAAAUUUAAUAAUGAUUUUUUUUAAAUGACUUCAUAUGCCAAUAUAUAAGUGCAACAAACUAUAAAGUGGUCUAUUUGUUACAUGCAAAGGAGAAGAAACAUGGCAAUACUUCUUAAGUUUGUUUAUAUUAUGAUCAUAUAUCUUUUUGUAGUUCUUGUUGUAGUUGAAGGCUACUGUACGCCAUUUUUCUCAUCCCCUCAAAUUUUAUUCUUUAUUUUAUAUACAACUUUUCAUCCCUUUUCAUUUACUUAAUUUUUUGGCUUACAUUACAGCGGUUUACGGAUGUAAUGACGACACAGAUUGUCCACCUAGUUGUACCACACGAGGUUGUCCGGAUAGUUGUGCCUAUCCUCAUGUUCUGAGAUGCAUUGGUAAAAAUUGUGUUUGUACUUAACAGUAAGUUGACACAACAAUUUGUUACUUUUAAACUUAUACUUUUAUUUCAACGAGUUGUUACUCAUAUUACUUCUUUGCAUGAUUCUAAUUUUCUCUCUAACAUUCAAAUUUCUUGCACAGGCUGAGAAUAAAAAUGGCAUUGCAGAAUUAUAAAUGAACUGCAAUAAAUAAAGAUGACAUGGUUUUGGAAGGGGAGGUGUGUCUAGCUUGUGGUAGUUUUUGAGUUGUAUCUCUAUGCUUUAGAAAAUUUGUAUUUGUUUUUAGUGCCCUAGGGGACACCUUGUUCUCUAGUUUGUGCUUGUGACCAAUAAAUUCUUUUCUUUUUGAAAAAUAUAUAUCAAAUAAAUACAAUAUAAUCAUUAUGUAUUUAUACUACACAAAUUUGAAUCAAGCUUUGCUCGUUGCCAUCCUUAAAUAUGAUUUAACCCACUUUAAUUUCAAUAAAAACACUACAAAUAAAAUGAAACUUGGACUCGACAACACAUAUAUUAUGAUUAUCUCAUGCUCCAUACUUAAUAUAACACUACUAAAAAACAAAAAUUAGUGAGGGAAAACAUGAAAUCCCUCUCUAAUACCGUCACUAAAUUUUGCGACCAAGGAAUUUGUGAGGAAUUUUAUGUUUUCCGUCACAAGUUUCCCUUCCUAAUUUUGCUUUUCCCAGUAGUGUAAAUACAUAUAAAAAUAAAAUAAACUUAAAGGUAUACCCACAUUUUAUUACAACUUAAACCAAAUAAAAUAAAGUAAAUCAACUCUUGACUUAUAUAUGUUGAUGCUUUCUCUUACUAUUCUUUCCGUAACCGCUUAUUCUUGAUGGAAAAAUGACUUCAUAUGAUAUUGUAUAGAAAAAUGUCCUCACCAGACAAACGACUCUAGGUCAAAUGAAUGCUUCAACCAUCCUUGACCAUAUCAGAUGCUUUAAGAUAUGAUUAAAUGAAAUCCUUAUGCAUGUUGACUAGUGUUGAGCUGGUUUUUCAUUAUUCUUUAUGUCUAGAUAAUGGGCAUGGUUGUACUUUUCCUCUCUUUUUUGUGUUUUUUUUUUUCUUUAUAAGGAUGAUUGUUGACCUUAUCUAGCUAAUGCUUAUAACCUGCACACAUGAACACACAGUUAGUAGAGAUAUUACUCCUUUGCUUUAAUUUGUUAUCAUCAAAAUAUUAUGAUCCUCUUAGAAUUUUAAUUAAUAGACCUUCUUUUAUGAGUUGAUGGUAAUUACCCUAGACCUAGUUCUCCUUUUGAUUUUUGAUUUGUCAAACAUCAAUACAAAGGGUUUGACAGUAAUAGUGAUGACAUCUCAAGUAUUGGAUCUUGAGCUUCUACAUAAGGGUCUUGUUCUAGAAAAAUCAUUAAUUUUAAUUUCCUAUUUCAAGUUUGGUAUAUAGAAACAUAUAACAAAGAUAAACAUAAUUUCUCAAGUGGUGUAUAUCUAGUUUCAGCAUCAUUUAAGAUUUGACUAAGGUAGUACACAACUCUUUCUGUUCCAUCAUUUUCAGGCAAUGCAAGCAAGUUGUCAACUUAAUAGUCUUCAAUAGCACUGGAAAACUUGAGUGGUUUAUUUGGUACUGGUGGCAUGUUCAUUGAUGGAAUAUCCAAAGCAUCUUUAAUCCCAUCAAAGGAUUUCUAGUGGUUGGCUCCCAAUAUCAUUUUUUCUCAAUAAAAAUUUGAUAUGAAACUCCUUAGGAAAUUUAUUUAUCCCAAGAGUGGUUGAGUUUCUUUCGUUGUGUUUGAGGGUCUUGCCUCCAAGAUAGCUUUACCUUUGUUCUUGUCCAAUUAAUUUUUUUUAUUGUGUACUAAGGAACCAAUGAAGUUACCAGAUGAUACUCCAAAUAUGCAUUUAGCUGGAUUCAUCUUUAAACCAUAUAGCCUCAUAGUUUUUGAAAGUCUUCUCUAGUUCCAACAAAUGGUUUUGGAAGGGAAUGUAUUUGACCAUUACAUCAUCAAUAUACACAUUCAUCUCUUUCCAUUGAGGUCAUGGAAGAUGGUUUUCAUAGCCCUUUAGAAAAAGGAGGUUAAUUACAAUUUUUGAAUUCGAGGGUCUUUAGAAUAUCAAGUUGCAUGCCUAAAUUUAUCCCUCAUCAUACUCCUUGAGAACAAUUAUGAGGCUUAGAUGAGUCAAAUAGAAUAUGGCUUCAAACUUUUUGACCUCUACUUAAAAGGUUUUCAUAUCUACUUCCACAAUCUCUACCAUGUUGCCUACCCACAACAUGAGUCUUUGGUGAAGUGUUGAGGGUACAUAUGCACUAGUAUGAAUCAAAGCUAUACCCAAGAUAACUAGUGUGCAUAUCUCUUCGAACGUGGUUUCAUGCUCAUAACUUCCUCGAUUGAUGUCAGUCAAAACAUGGAAUACUGGUGAAAUGCUCAAUCGUCAAGUUCCACUGAGUUUUGGCUGAUUGGAACAACCCUCCGAUAUAUGUGGACUACACUAUACAUGAGAAAGAUUUCGCUAACUUGCGUUUGAUAUUAUCUCCACCCGCCUAACCUCCAAUCAAUUGAGGGGAAUUCUCUUGACUUUAAUAUGAUCUAUUUGCCGAUCUUGACGACCAAACUAUUAAGGCUUAAUGCUCUUUUGACCCCCUAGCUCUGCAAAAGUUACGAUGUUGGCCCCUAUUAAAAAAACAAAAAUUCAGCUCGCUAAAUUUGCCCCCGAUUGUAAGUAGCCUAUUUUGUAAGUAUAAAAUUUUAAGAGGUGGUGGUUGUUUAGAGGGAGGGAGAUGGUGGUGUAGUCAGGGUAUAGGUGGAGGUGUGUGUUGUAAUUCUAUGUUUUGAGAGAGGGAUGAUGAAGAAGGAUGGUCGUGUGUAUUGCUACUCACGUGUCCCUUCAUUAUUUAUUUAUUUAUUUAUUUAUUUAUUUAUUUAUUUUCAUUUAUAAAUAUGUGACUUUUUAUUUUAUUUUUAAUUUAAAAAUUAAUGUAGAUAUCCGAUGUUGUCCGAGUUAAUUAUUAUAAUUAUAUACCAGAAAACAGUGAUUUGAUAAAAAAUACAAGGUGACAACUAGGGUAUCCAUGGAAGAAUGGUGGGUAAUUUACCCCAAUCAAUACACAUUAGCCACAUAAACACAUUUUUAAGUGGUAUACAUGAACUAUCUUGAUCCCACCAACAAAUUGCUCAUUUUCAUUGAUUUGUGGGUAAAUUACCCACCAUUCUUCAAAGGUAAUUUAGAAAAAACCAAAAUACAAUGCUAAAACGAUUUUAAGAUAACCGACCUUCGUUGUAUUGGUCAAAUGGUCACUAUUAGCAUGCAAUUCAGAACAUUUAGUUUGCAAUGGACCUAAUUCUAAACAUUCGCCAUGAUUGUCGAGAAGUAAAUUUUAAUAAUGAAUUCACAACAUUAACAAUUAAUAAAUGAAAUUUAAAAUAAAAUAAGAUAGAAAUCUAAAUUUAAUAUUUUACCUUUGCAACGUAAGACUCUUGAAGGUCAGCAACACUUUUCAAAAAAAUUGCAGUUUCACCGUCAAAUAUAACACAAAUGCCUAAAUCGGUAUGAUCAGCCACCUUAAUUUGAAUGUUAUACCUAUUUAAAUUACUCCAACAUCAACAAGAGUGUAAGUCUUGGUAACUCUAAAAUUAAAAUUAAAAUUAGUAUAAAAUGAAAGAUGUCUGAUUUUCCAAACCAAAAAAGAAAGAAAGGAAGUCGUAAGUACCUACUGAUAAAUGACACAUAGUCAUCCUCAUAUCAUAUCCAUGAUAGGACCAUUUUGAUUCAGAGUAUGUGUCUUUCACAAUACCAUGUGUGACAAAGGAACCAUCCUGAAAAUACUCUUAUAUAUUUCAUAUAUUUUUUUAAUAAGUUUUUUAAAAUUAUAUGUGCGUAAUGUACAUAACAACAUACCUCUUGACAAUUGUUUAACUCUGCGAUUGUUUUGAAAGUAUACAUUUUCAAGAAGUCAUCUUCUAGUGAGUAUCAAGACAUGACAUAAAGAAGUCAUUCUCACAUAAAGAAGUCAUUUUCACUAGAUAUAUCCUCUUUUUAUUUUGGAUUCCUAUCACAAGGAAUAUAACAUAACCCAAGUGGUGUAAAGUAUAAAAAUAAAUGAGUGUAAAUGGUUGAAAUCAAAGAUAAUAUGUUUUGAUUUUUCACAACAGUGGUGUUUUUCUUAGAAUGUCAACGGCGGUGUCUUUAUACGAUGGCUUUUUCGACUAAUCUUAGCACAUCUUGACUCUAGAUAAGUAUUUCUUUUAAAAAUAAAAAAAAUACUACAAAGUAUUUUGUGUGAUAUCUACUUGUCAUUAUUUUAGAAUAUUGAAUUCGUUAUUCGGAUAAUUUAUCAUGUCUAAACUCUAAACCAAUACAAAAUAGCCAUGACUUCAAUCAAUUUAUAUAUAUAGAUAUAUAUAGUGCAAACAAUAUUGUCCUCUUCACUUAUCCUCUAGUACCAUUGUCGCCUAAAUUAUAUUCAAGCCAUCGUCCUCCGUCGACAACCACUCGUUUAUCUUGUGCAAAUAUUCUCUCUCUCUCUGAUCCUAAUAUAUUUGUGUUGUCCAAAACCCGCGACUUCAUUUGUACUACAAUUGACAAAGGUGGUGGAGAGGUUAUGGUUUGAAGGUGGUGAUGGCUACAUACGGUGGCAAAGUCGGAAGAGGAAGAGGAGGGCGUAUGUAGAAAGAAAGAAGGCGGCGAUCAAAGAGAGAGAAAUUAGGACGAAGGGUGGAUGGAUUAGAGAACACACAUGUGAAGAAAGAGAAAAAAGGAUAUAAAAAGAGAAGAAAAAAAAAAAAAAAAAAAAGAAGCCAAUUAUGCCCAUGUAACUAUAUGGAAGUUAUGAAUUUGACCCUAGUGUUGUAUUUGUGUUAAAAAUGUGUCUCAUUGUCAUUUCUCUUUUUAUUUUGGGUUCCUAUCAUAAGGAUUAUAACAUAGCCUAAGUUGUGGAAAGUAUUAAAAUAAACGAGUGUAAAUGGUUUUUUUUUUUGAAACAAAAUGAGUGUAAAUGGUUGAAAUCAAAGAUAAUAGGUUAUGAUUUAUCACAAUUGUGAUGUUUUUUUUAAGAAUGUCAACAAUGGUGUCUUCAUAUGAUGACUUCUUUGACUAAUCUUAGUACAUCUUGACUCUAAAUAAGUACUCUUUAUUUAAAAAGAAAAAAUGCUACAAAGUAUUUUGUGUGAUAUUUACAUGUCGCUAUUUUAGAAUAUUGAAUUUGGUAUUCGAAUAAUUAAUAAUGUUUGAACAAUACAAAAUAGCCAUGACAUCAAUACAAUUAUCAACAUUGAGAAAAACAUGGUAAUACACCACCACCCCCAAAAAAAGAGUUUAUCUUUGCUCCAUUUAAGUCUCCUUCAUUUACUCCUUUUUAAUGUACAGAUAUGUGACAUGUGGCGGUAACAAAUCUAAUGGUUGAUAUUAAAAAUCAAAUUAAAAGACACGUUGUAUGUUGAAGCUUUUCUCCGAUGUAACAACAUUCCACCUUUUCAUCUUCUUCCUCUCAAUGUCUCCCCCAGCCUCACAGUGUUGUCACGACACCGUCCUCUAAAAUCACCAUUUGCAGAUCCUGUUCCAUAAACUUUUUAAUUUUUAAUUUAUGAUUUUUGUGUUUGUCUCUUAAAUCAAUCAAAAAGUAACAAACAUAGAAAGAAUUUUCGAAACACUGGUGUUGUUUUUCAUCCCUUAAGAAUCAUUUUUUAAUCUAAGGAUUAAAAGGAUUGUUAAUUUAAAAUCCAUUUAAUCCAUUUGUUGUGAUUCUAAUUUUAUCUAAUUAAUUCGUUCUUCAAUUUUAGAAAGACUCUCAGUUUUAAUUAAUUAAUCUCAUCAAAAUUGUUCAAGUUGUUAUGGAUUUGCAAUGAAAUUGGGAAAUUGAGAGGAGAAUGAAGGAGGUGGAGGAGAAAGAGAUUAGGUGACCGAGAGUGGAGAGAGCAUGCAAUGAUGUCUUUUAAAUCUCUGUCUUUAGAUUUAUUUUUGCCAUAUGUCACACAUCUGUAAAUUUAAAAGGAGUAAAUGGAGCAAAUAUAAAUGGAGUAAAGAUGAACUCCCAAAUGGCAAUACAAUACUCAAUAUUUGAUCAAUAUAAAACCAUAAUCAUCAAUCAUCAUCUUCGUUAAUCUCGUUAAGAAUCACAAUUAAUGCCACUAUGAAAGCGUAAUCAACACUGGGAUAAACAGUGACUGCGAAAUGGUCUUUAUCAAUUAAAAUACUCUGAAUAGUGUGCUUUUUGUGCAUCUGCAGUAACAAAAAUAUCACAAAAACUGAUUUAUGAUUAGUAUAUCUCCUUAAGUGAUAAUCCAAUCAAAGUAAAGCCUUAUAUACUUGUAUAUAUACUAGAUGCUUUUUAAUUACCUGUGCAACAAUGUUGUUAGUAUCACCAGCAUAAACAAUACAAGAUCGUUCCAACCAACUACCUUUGACUUUAAAAUCACAAACAUCUUCUUUGGUAUUAUCAGCUAGAAACACAUCUAGUUUUGCCUUCAACUGCAAUAGCGAUGAUUUUCUCAAUGUAAAUAUAAGAUCUUUAGAAUUUGUGCUUUCUCCUCUGUAAGCUUCCCACCGAUCAUGCAUAGUCACUAUCUGCAUCAAUAGUACAACUUAAUGAAUCAUUAAACAACACUUUCAAUAAUAAAAUUUGUAUUAAAUGCUAAUCAAUAUCAAUUAUUUUUUUUCUUCAUAAAAAAAAUAUCAAUAAUAAAAUUUAUAUGAAUAUAAUAUGUAAUAAUAUAUGAAGCGGUUGGGGUUCGAACCCCAAACACCAUAUUUCUUCACAUUUAAAUGUGCGAGCUUCAGCUACCAAGCUACUUACAAAAAAAAAUCAAGUAAUUUAAAUUUGUGGUAUAUGACUAUAAUUUAUUUUUAUCGGUAAUCUCUCCCUCUCCAACAAGCCGGCCCUAGUUUUCUCUUUCUAGGUUUUUUCUUACAGUUUCUUCAUUGAGGGGUGGUUUUUGGUCAAUUCUUGACCUGAAAUCACCCCUCUUCAUCUUUUUAUCUCUAUUUCAAUCUAAAUAAGUGAUUUUCAUAUAUAUCUAGGUUUUUUUCUUUGUGAUUUCAUCAUCUAAGUGUGGUGGUUUGUUGUUCAUCGUCUUGUGCGGCGUUGUUUGAUUUCCAGUCUUCGUGCAAUGUUCAUUUGAUUCAUAUUGAAAGAUCGAUUAUUCAAUCAAAGAGCGUCAACGUUGCAGAUUCGGAGGUCAUGAAUAUUCCGGUCACUUUAAUUUUAUCAUAUAUUUUUGUAGGCAUUAUGUCGUUAUAUGCUAUUAACUUUGAAUGCUGUGAGCUUAUUCGCAGAUUCAUCCUUUACGUUUUUAACGAUGUUGAAUGAUGUAAUCUCACGAUUUGAAUGAAUGAAUAUCAUUUUAUUUUUGUCAAAUUUUUUUUUAUUUUUAUCAUUGCUCAACCCCAUUAUUCUCUUUGCCAAAAAAAAAUAAUUAUUUUCUUUAGAGAUUUAGCUCGUUUCUAUUAUGAGAAGCUACUAAAAGGGAAAUAAAAUGUAUAUAUAAAAAAAGAACAAUGGUGGCAAACAAUAUUUUAAUGUGUGAUCUUUAUUAAAUAUAAGUGAGUAAAAUGGACAAACACGACACAUCGAUAUAAUCAAGAGACAUUAAAUUAUGAUUAUUUAAAAAAAAGGGUUUCAUAAGGCAAUAUAUAAGUGCUACAAACUAUAAAGUGGUCAAACAAUUAUCUAUUUGUUACAUGCAAAAGAGAAGAAAUAUGGCUGCAAUUCUUAAGUUUGUUUAUAUUAUGAUCAUAUAUCUUUUUGUACUUCUUGUUGCAGUUAAAGGUUAUUGUAUGCUUUUUUUCUCAUCCCCUCAAAUUUUAUAUACAAUUUUUCAUCCCUUUUUUUUGACUUUAUUUUUUUUGCUUACAUCAUAGCAUUUGAAGAAUGUAAAGAAGACGCAGAUUGCCAUCCUGUUUGUAGCGUACCAGGUUGUUCAAAUAUUUGUACCCUGCCUGAUGUCCCAACAUGCAUUGAUAAUAAUUGUUUUUGUAUUUA
rnacentral:lncRNA from 1 species